CCUACGGGUGGCAGCAGUAGGGAAUGUUCGGCAAUGGGCGAAAGCCUGACCGAGCAAUGCCGCGUGAGUGAAGAAGGCCUUCGGGUUGUAAAGCUCUGUUGGAAAGGAAGAACGGAGGGCAGAGGGAAUGAUGCCAUGGGGACGGUACGGUACGAGGAAGGCACGGCUAACUACGUGCCAGCAGCCGCGGUAAUACGUAGGUGGCGAGCUUGAUCCGGAAUUCUUGGGCGGAAAGGGUGCGCAGGCGGCAAGAAAAGCUUAAGGUGAAAGCGUGGGGCUCCACCCCCUAAAGCCUUAGGAACUCGCUUGCUAGUGUGCAGGUGCGGGCGUUGGAAUUCCCUGUGUAGCGUUCAAAUGCGUCGAUAUCUGGCGGAACACCAGUGGCGAAGGCGGUCGCCUGGCCUGUACCUGACGCUGAGGCAC
rnacentral:rRNA from 1 species